rnacentral:rRNA from 1 species
UACGUAGGUGGCGAGCGUUGUCCGGAUUUACUGGGCGUAAAGAGCGCGCAGGCGGCUGGUCAAGUCCGAUGUGAAAGCUCCCGGCUUAACUGGGAAAUUGCAUCGGAAACUGAUCGGCUGGAAGGUGGGAGAGGGUAGCGGAAUUCCCGGUGUAGCGGUGAAAUGCGCAGAUAUCGGGAGGAACACCAAUGGCGAAGGCAGCUCGCUGGGACGUUACUGACGCUGAGACGCGAAAGCGUGGGGAGCAAACAGG